AGAACUCCGGACAGGCCGUUGUGCAUCGAGGUGGAACUUCGGUUCAAUGCUAACAUAGCAAGACUCGAGAGCGAACUCAAUGAUGUGGUAGAUGCUUUCUCUGAAAAGGAAGAACGGGUCUGCACACUGGUGGAUGUUAUGAAGCACAUACAAGGCAACGUUGGGCACAGUCUGAUAAAUGAGACGGAAUUGCCUGGUGAUGAGCUUAAAAUAUCAGCGCGUCACAUUUACUGCACUCCUGACAAAGUCUGCGUUUUUGCUGGCAGCCAAGCCGAAGUCAUCUCUGUCUCCACAUCUGUAUUACCGCGGGCGCUUAUGUUUUGUCUUUUGGUGUAUUAUAUCAAGAACUUAGAGUAUCCAUUUGCAUAUUCCUAGAUGGUUUGUGGACGCCUGAAGUGUUUUUUGGCCUUU